rnacentral:rRNA from 1 species
UAGGGAAUCUUCCGCAAUGGACGAAAGUCUGACGGAGCAACGCCGCGUGAGUGAAGAAGGAUUUCGGUUCGUAAAACUCUGUUGUUAGGGAAGAAAAAAUGUAUAGUAACUAUAUACAAAAGAGACGGUACCUAACCAGAAAGCCACGGCUAACUACGUGCCAGCAGCCGCGGUAAUACGUAGGUGGCAAGCGUUGUCCGGAAUUAUUGGGCGUAAAGCGCGCGCAGGUGGUUUAGAAAGUCUGAUGUGAAAGCCCACGGCUCAACCGUGGAGGGUCAUUGGAAACUAAUAAACUUGAGUGCAGGAGAGAAAAGUGGAAUUCCUAGUGUAGCGGUGAAAUGCGUAGAGAUUAGGAGGAACACCGGUGGCGAAAGCGGCUUUUUGGCCUGCAACUGACACUGAGGGGCGAAAGCGUGGGGAGCAAACAGG